GGGAUGGGACCGCGCUGUGCCGGGCCCCCGCCCCCGGGCUCUGCUCCACAUCCACACACAGCCCGAGCCCCCAGCCCCAGUUUAGUCCCUCCUGUCCCCAAGCUGGUUUUGUUGUUUUGGCUGGAGUUCAGCGGCUGCGGGACGGGACUGGGACGUGCCCAGCAGAGCCAGAUGGGAAGCUCUCAGGAAGAGGCUGCACACCUUUUAGAGCGUUUUUAACUAUUCAAAACUUGAAGGUGCCCCAGGGCAGUCCCAUGAAAUCCAGGACCCAUCUCCCAGAAGAGACAGGGGCAGCCUGGCUGGGACAGGGGUUGAGUUCCCUGCUCUGUCCGGGCUUCUCAAGGGGAGCAAACCCCAAUUCCCACAUCCUGUGGGGCCGGCAUUAAUGGGAUUAUCUCUCCCCUAUCUGGGCUAAAGGGAAGCAGUACCUUAACACACUCCCAGGAUGGCCAGAGGUCUUUAAAAAGCUCCAGCACUUGAGGAAAAUCGCCUCCAGGCAUUCCUUGGGUUUGUAAAUUCAGGGUUUAAGGCCGAAGGGACCUGGCCAUGAUCUAGUUGCACCUCCCUUGUAAAACCAUAAAAGACGACAAAACUGCCUCGAGCAGUUAAUUUGCAGAAGCUCCUGGUUUUGGUUUUUAAUUUGCCAGCUCCUGGUGGCUGGAGGGCCCUCAGUAGAUGGAGAACGUGAGUAAUAUCUGCCACAUCCCUGGGCCAGCUGCUGCCACAAGGAACGGGACAAAGUGGCCAAAGUGGCUGCUGUGCUCCAGGCUAAAGUACAGAGGUGAACACCAGGGAUGUGUGGGGGGAAGGAAAAGGAGGCUUUCAGCCCAGAGAGCCCCUCCAAGCUCUGAGUGCACACCUCCACACACGCCUGACCAGCCAGGCCUCCCUAACAGCCCCAAGCACCCCAAACCCUGUCCCUGCUCCGAGGGCAGUGAGGAAGGACAUCCAUGGGUUCUGUUGUCCUUCAUCCCACCAGAGCCUGUCUCCAGGGCAGAGAGGAAGGACUUCCAUGGGUUCUGUUG